AGAUUGAACUGAAGAGUUUGAUCAUGGCUCAGAUUGAACGCUGGCGGCAGGCUUAACACAUGCAAGUCGAGCGGUAACAGAGAUAGCUUGCUAUCUGCUGACGAGCGGCGGACGGGUGAGUAACGCGUAGAAAAC
rnacentral:rRNA from 1 species